GAUGAACGCUGGCGGCGUGCCUAACACAUGCAAGUCGAGCGAACGGACGCGAAUCUUGCUUCUCUGAUGUUAGCGGCGGACGGGUGAGUAACACGUGGAUAACCUACCUAUAAGACUGGGAUAACUUCGGGAAACCGGAGCUAACACCGUAUAAGAUUUUGAACCGCAUGGUUCAAAAGAGAAAUACGGUCUUGCUGUCACUUAUAGAUGGAUCCGCGCUGCAUUAGCUAGUUGGUAAGGUAACGGCUUACCAAGGCAACGAUGCGUAGCCGACCUGAGAGGGUGGUCGGCCACACUGGAGCUGGGACACGGUCCAGGCUCCUACGGGAGGCAGCAGUAGGGAAUCUUCCGCAGUGGGCGAAAGCCUGACGGAGCAACGCCGCGUGAGUGAUGAAGGUCUUCGGAUCGUAAAACUCUGUUAUUAGGGAAGAACAUAUGUGUAAGUAACUGUGCACAUCCUGACGGUACCUAAUCAGAAAGCCACGGCUAACUACGUG
rnacentral:rRNA from 1 species